rnacentral:lncRNA from 1 species
GAUACAAACGUUGUUUUUCCAGUAAUUUAAAGGGCUCAUAUCAUGCAAAAUCCACUUUUUAGACAUUUUGGAGCGUUCCUAUGACUCUAUGGGUCACAUAUACACACACCGAGCACGGUAGAAAUGCAUUUCCUGCUUUUUUCACAUUUUGAAAACGUAAUUUUUCUCAUCCAAUGGAGAGAGAUAUCUACUGUUCUGAGGCCGUUCCCCAGGUUUCGUCAUACUGGUUGAAAGUUCUCCUUGCAAAUCCUGAACCACCACCCCCACAAUGAUCCCGAACCAAAACUGGACUUCCGCCAUUUCCCCCCUCUCACUCACCGUGAACAGACCAGCACGGCAGCGCCCAAGUCCUCCCAUAGAAAUAGUUCGGUUCUUAGGUGUUCUAACCAACACCAAAGUCUCUUCACUUUACCAAGGGAUCAACAAGUGAGGAUUUGUGGGUCACUUUUAUUUUAAACGGACCGGUGCCAGAAACAUUGCCUCAGCAUUUAUACGUAUGUGCAUUUCAAACGAGGGUGCGUACAAUGCUGGAUUUGUUUCACGGCUCCUGUUGGAAAAAAAGGACCUAUUCCUAAAGUCCGUCAUCCACUCACUGAAGGAGGCACAUCCCAGUUACCUACAUGCAAGGAGGCUGUCAAACAGAGAAAUCACUGCAGACUGUUGGUACACGGACAUCUGCUGCCCAGCUCAGGAGUGAAGGUGAUGGUGAGGACAGCCACAGCUUCCAUCUGAUAGAGGACUGCUUCCGCUCAGUCUUCCAAAUAGUGAUGAGAACAAGGAUCACCACAUCUCCCUGUUUACCCUACUUUCAUGCAUUUCGUCUGCAAGGCCCUGCAAAAGCUUCUGUCCUCAAACCCCCAGACUUCUUAAUUAACUCAGUAACCUAUACAUUGCACAUUGGAGUGUGAAGGUAACAGUUUGUUCUAGCUUUGGAGUAGUGGUGUAUUUUUUUGGUUUACAAUAAAGUUGGCUUUAACUAUUAUGUAUUUCA